GAGUGUAUAGCUCAGUGGUAGAGCAUGUGCUUAGCAUGCAUGAGGUUCUGGGUUCAGUCCCCAGAACCUCCA
rnacentral:tRNA from 1 species